GACGAACGCUGGCGGCGUGCCUAAUACAUGCAAGUCGAGCGGACUUGAGGGAGCUUGCUCCCGAAAGUUAGCGGCGGACGGGUGAGUAACACGUGGGCAACCUGCCUAUAAGACUGGGAUAACUUCGGGAAACCGGAGCUAAUACCGGAUAAUUCCUUUCCUCUCAUGAGGAAGGGCUGAAAGACGGUUUCGGCUGUCACUUAUAGAUGGGCCCGCGGCGCAUUAGCUAGUUGGUGAGGUAACGGCUCACCAAGGCGACGAUGCCUAGCCGACCUGGGAGGGUGAUCGGCCACACUGGGACUGAGGCACGGCCCAGACUCCUACGGGAGGCAGCAGUAGGGAAUCUUCCGCAAUGGACGAAAGUCUGACGGAGCAACGCCGCGUGAGUGAUGAAGGUUUUCGGAUCGUAAAACUCUGUUGUUAGGGAAGAACAAGUACCAGUUAACUGCUGGUACCUUGACGGUACCUAACCAGAAAGCCACGGCUAACUACGUGCCAGCCGCCGCUGUAACAC
rnacentral:rRNA from 1 species